rnacentral:rRNA from 1 species
AUUGAACGCUGGCGGCAUGCUUUACACAUGCAAGUCGGACGGCAGCACAGAGAAGCUUGCUUCUUGGGUUGCGAGUGGCGAACGGGUGAGUAAUAUAUCGGAACGUACCGAGUAAUGGGUGAUAACUAAUCGAAAGAUUAGCUAAUACCGCAUAUUCUCUGAGGAGGAAAGCAGUUGACCUUCGGUCCUUGCUUUAUUCGAGCGGCCGAUAUCUGAUUAGCUAGUUGGUGGGGUAAAGGCCUACCAAGGCGACGAUCAGUAGCGGGUCUGAGAGGAUGAUCCGCCACACUGGGACUGAGACACGGCCCAGAAUCCUACGGGAGGAAGCAGUGGGGAAUUUUGGACAAUGGGCGCAAGCCUGAUCAAGACAUGCCGCGUGUCUGAAGAAGGCCUUCGGGUUGUAAAGGACUUUUGUCAGGGAAGAAAAGGCUGUUGCUAAUAUCAAGAGCUGAUGACGGUACCUGAAGAAUAAGCACCGGCUAACUACGUG